CCUACGGGUGGCAGCAGUGGGGAAUAUUGGACAAUGGGCGAAAGCCUGAUCCAGCCAUGCCGCGUGUGUGAAGAAGGCCUUCGGGUUGUAAAGCACUUUCAGUGGGGAAGAAAGCCUUGGGGCUAAUACCCUCGAGGAAGGACAUCACCCACAGAAGAAGCACCGGCUAACUCCGUGCCAGCAGCCGCGGUAAUACGGAGGGUGCGAGCGUUAAUCGGAAUUACUGGGCGUAAAGCGCGCGUAGGCGGUCUGAUAAGCCGGUUGUGAAAGCCCCGGGCUCAACCUGGGAACGGCAUCCGGAACUGUCAGGCUAGAGUGCAGGAGAGGAAGGUAGAAUUCCUGGUGUAGCGGUGAAAUGCGUAGAGAUCGGGAGGAAUACCAGUGGCGAAGGCGGCCUUCUGGACUGACACUGACGCUGAGGUGCGAAAGCGUGGGUAGCAAACAGGAUUAGAUACCCGAGUAGUC
rnacentral:rRNA from 1 species